rnacentral:rRNA from 1 species
AUACGUAGGGAGCGAGCGUUACCCGGAAUUACUGGGCGUAAAGCGCGCGUAGGCGGGCUGGUCAGUUGGGGGUGAAAUCCCGAGGCUUAACCUCGGAACUGCCCUCAAUACUGCCAGUCUUGAGUUCGAGAGAGGUGAGUGGAAUUCCUAGUGUAGAGGUGAAAUUCGUAGAUAUUAGGAAGAACACCAGUGGCGAAGGCGGCUUACUGGCUCGAUACUGACGCUGAGGCGCGAAAGCGUGGGGAGCAAACAGGAUUAGAAACCCCUGUAGUCC